GGGUCCUUAACUCAUUGGUAGAGCAUUUGAUUGCAGAUCAAGAGGUCAUCAGUUCGACCCUGGUAGGGCCUU
rfam:Capsicum annuum cultivar Zunla-1 chromosome 7, whole genome shotgun sequence